ACUCCUACGGGAGGCAGCAGUAGGGAAUCUUCCACAAUGGGCGCAAGCCUGAUGGAGCAACACCGCGUGAGUGAAGAAGGGUUUCGGCUCGUAAAGCUCUGUUGUUAAAGAAGAACACGUAUGAGAGUAACUGUUCAUACGUUGACGGUAUUUAACCAGAAAGUCACGGCUAAUUACGUGCCAGCAGCCGCGGUAAUACGUAGGUGGCAAGCGUUAUCCGGAUUUAUUGGGCGUAAAGAGAGUGCAGGCGGUUUUCUAAGUCUGAUGUGAAAGCCUUCGGCUUAACCGGAGAAGUGCAUCGGAAACUGGAUAACUUGAGUGCAGAAGAGGGUAGUGGAACUCCAUGUGUAGCGGUGGAAUGCGUAGAUAUAUGGAAGAACACCAGUGGCGAAGGCGGCUACCUGGUCUGCAACUGACGCUGAGACUCGAAAGCAUGGGUAGCGAACAGGAUUAGAUACCCCUGGUAGGAUAGCG
rnacentral:rRNA from 1 species